rnacentral:rRNA from 1 species
CACGGGGGGGGCAAGCGUUGUUCGGAAUUACUGGGCGUAAAGGGCGCGUAGGCGGCCUGCUAAGUCGGACGUGAAAUCCCUCGGCUCAACCGAGGAACUGCGUCCGAUACUGGUGGGCUUGAAUCCGGGAGAGGGAUGUGGAAUUCCCGGUGUAGCGGUGAAAUGCGCAGAUAUCAGGAAGAACACCAGCGGCGAAGGCGGCACUCUGGGCUGGAAUUGACGCUGAGGAGCGAAAGUGUGGGUAGCAAACAGG